CUCCCAUGAUCCCAAAAUUGCCUGGUCCACGACGCCCCAAAUUUGUGUUUUUGGAAGGUAGGAAAGGGGUGGACACCCAGCUUCCUCCUCCUUGAGCCCCAAACUGCCCCAAAUUUGUGUUUUUGGAAGGUUGGAAAGGGGUGGGCACCCAGCUCCCACCUCCCUGACCCCAAACUGCCCCAAAUUUGUGUUUUUGGAAGGUAGGAAAGGGGUGGGCACCCGGCUCCCACCUCCCUGACC